UGAAGAGAUCUGUAGAAGCAAUAAUUUGUUUCGUCGGAUUGGUGCGGUCAUGGCACAACGGUGUCUUGUCCAGAAAGCUUCGAGUUUUGUCCGUCCAUGAAGGGCAGCAAAAGAGCCUACUUCGGCUUGCAGAAGAGGUUCGUGCAGCCCGGGCAUGUUGAUAUGAUUUAGGUUUUGAUGUCUCAUCAUGCUUAUCUUCUGGUUCAGGCUUACUGACUAUUUCAGCUUGCAACUGUCAAAUCUUUUUGUCCAAUCAACAUCUUAUAUGGUUCAUUUCUAUUCUCGUUCCAAGGUCACACUCCCUGAUUUCUUCUUGGAAGAUCUUAAUUAAUAAGACAAGUUGGUGAAAUGAAAUAUGCUUAAUUUGCUUCAUUUCAUUCACUCUAUUGGUCCCUUCCCUUUUUUCAACACUUCUGGUUCAAGUGUAUGAGCCAUCAGUAAUGUGAAGAUAUAAGCAUUUAAAAGAUUGUUGUUCUAUAGGUUUGGACUUGGGAGAUAAUAGACAGAGAAAAUAGUUGCUGAA